AUGGCUCAGAACGAACGCUGGCGGCGCGUUUAAGCAUGCAAGUCGAGCGGCAAGGGCCUUCGGGCCCCUAGAGCGGCGGACGGGUGAGUAACACGUGGACAAUCUGCCCCCCGGCCCGGGAUAGCCCAGGGAAACCUGGAUUAAUACCGGAUGAGACGGGACCCGCGAUGGCGGGACCCGGGAAAGGCGCUGCGGCGCCGCCGGGGGAUGAGUCUGCGUCCCAUUAGCUAGACGGCGGGGUAACGGCCCACCGUGGCGACGAUGGGUAGCCGGCCUGAGAGGGUGGACGGCCACAUUGGAACUGAGACACGGUCCAGACUCCUACGGGAGGCAGCAGCUAAGAAUCUUCCGCAAUGGGCGAAAGCCUGACGGAGCCGACGCCGCGUGAACGAAGAAGGCCGUGAGGUUGUAAAGUUCUUUUCGGGAGGGGGAACAACCGUGGCAGGGAAUGGCCGCGGGAUGGCGUGAAUCCCGGAAUAAGCCCCGGCUAACUACGUGCCAGCCGCCGC
rnacentral:rRNA from 1 species